AACGAACGCUGGCGGCGUGGAUAAGACAUGCAAGUCGAGCGAAGUAUGAGGGGUAGCAAUAUUCCUUAUACUUAGCGGCGAAAGGGUGCGUAACACGUAGAUCAUCUGCCUCCAAGUGUGGGAUAGCCCGGCGAAAGCCGGAUUAAUACCGCAUGNGGUCGUGAGAUUAAAGCCGGGGACCGUAAGGCCUGGCGCUUGGAGAUGAGUCUGCGGCCUAUCAGCUUGUUGGCGGGUAACGGCCCACCAAGGCUAAGACGGGUAGCUGGUCUGAGAGGACGACCAGCCACACUGGAACUGAGACACGGUCAGACACCUACGGGUGGCAGCAGUCGAGGUAUUUUUCUCAAUGGGCGAAAGCCUGAAGGAGCGACGCCGCGGUGGGGA
rnacentral:rRNA from 1 species